ACGUACACUCCUGCGGGAGGCAGCAGUGGGGAAUAUUGGACAAUGGGCGCAAGCCUGAUCCAGCCAUGCCGCGUGAGUGAUGAAGGCCCUAGGGUUGUAAAGCUCUUUCACCGGUGAAGAUAAUGACGGUAACCGAAGAAGAAGCCCCGGCUAACUUCGUGCCAGCAGCCGCGGUAAUACGAAGGGGGCUAGCGUUGUUCGGAUUUACUGGGCGUAAAGCGCACGUAGGCGGACUAUUAAGUCAGGGGUGAAAUCCCGGGGCUCAACCCCGGAACUGCCUUUGAUACUGGUAGUCUUGAGUUCGAGAGAGGUGAGUGGAAUUCCGAGUGUAGAGGUGAAAUUCGUAGAUAUUCGGAGGAACACCAGUGGCGAAGGCGGCUCACUGGCUCGAUACUGACGCUGAGGUGCGAAAGCGUGGGGAGCAAACAGGAUUAGAAACCCGAGUAGUCCCAUGA
rnacentral:rRNA from 1 species